AAUGAACGCUGGCGGCAUGCCUAACACAUGCAAGUCGAACGAGACCUUCGGGUCUAGUGGCGCACGGGUGCGUAACGCGUGGGAAUCUGCCCUUGGGUUCGGAAUACCAUUUGGAAACAAAUGCUAAUACCGUAUAUUCUCGAAAGAGGAAAGAUUUAUCGCUGAUGGAUGAGCCCGCGUCAGAUUAGGUAGUUGGUGGGGUAAUGGCCUACCAAGCCGACGAUCUGUAGCUGGUCUGAGAGGACGAUCAGCCACACUGGAACUUAGACACGGUCCAGACUCCUACGGGAGGCAGCAGUGGGGAAUAUUGGACAAUGGGCGAAAGCCUGAUCCAGCAAUACCGCGUGAACGAUAAAGGCCUUAGGGUUGUAAAGUUCUUUUAGCAGGGAAGAUAAUGACAGUACCUGCAGAAAAAGCCCCGGCUAACUUCGUGCCAGCCGCCGCCGUAA
rnacentral:rRNA from 1 species